CCUACGGGUGGCUGCAGUGGGGAAUAUUGGACAAUGGGCGAAAGCCUGAUCCAGCAAUGCCGCGUGAGUGAUGAAGGCCCUAGGGUUGUAAAGCUCUUUUACCCGGGAUGAUAAUGACAGUACCGGGAGAAUAAGCCCCGGCUAACUCCGUGCCAGCAGCCGCGGUAAUACGGAGGGGGCUAGCGUUGUUCGGAAUUACUGGGCGUAAAGCGCACGUAGGCGGCUUUGUAAGUCAGAGGUGAAAGCCCGGAGCCUAACUCCGGAAUUGCCUUUGAGACUGCAUCGCUUGAAUCCAGGAGAGGUGAGUGGAAUUCCGAGUGUAGAGGUGAAAUUCGUAGAUAUUCGGAAGAACACCAGUGGCGAAGGCGGCUCACUGGACUGGUAUUGACGCUGAGGUGCGAAAGCGUGGGGAGCAAACAGGAUUAGAUACCCCGGUAGUC
rnacentral:rRNA from 1 species